rnacentral:rRNA from 1 species
GAUGAACGCUGGCGGCGUGCUUAACACAUGCAAGUCGAACGAAGCACUUUAUUUGAUUUCCUUCGGGACUGAUUAUUUUGUGACUGAGUGGCGGACGGGUGAGUAACGCGUGGGUAACCUGCCUUGUACAGGGGGAUAACAGUUGGAAACGGCUGCUAAUACCGCAUAAGCGCCCAGCAUCUCAUGAUGCAGUGUGAAAAACUCCGGUGGUAUAAGAUGGACCAGCGUUGGAUUAGCUAGUUGGUGAGGUAACGGCCCACCAAGGCGACGAUCCAUAGCCGAGCUGAGAGGGUGACCGGCCACAUGGGGACUAAGACACGGCCCAAACUCCUACGAGAGGCAGCAGUGGAGAAUAUUGCACAAUGGGCGAAAGCCUGAUGCAGCGACGCCGCGUGAGCGAAGAAGUAUUUCGGUAUGUAAAGCUCUAUCAGCAGGGAAGAUAAUGACGGUACCUGACUAAGAAGCACCGGCUAAAUACGUG